GUCCACGCCGUAAACGAUGAGUGCUAGUCGUGGCUGGUAUUGACCCCUGCCGCAACGAAGUUAACGCAUUAAGCACUCCGCCUGGGGAGUACGGCCGCAAGGCUAAAACUCAAAGGAAUUGACGGGGGCCCGCACAAGCGGUGGAGCAUGUGGUUCAAUUCGACGCAACGCGCAGAACCUUACCUGGGUUAAAUCCACCGGAACCCCGCAGAGAUGUGGGAGUGCUCGCAAGAGAGCCGGUGAGAAGGUGCUGCAUGGCUGUCGU
rnacentral:rRNA from 1 species